rnacentral:rRNA from 1 species
AUUAGAUAAAAAACCAACGCCCUUCGGAGCUUCUUGGUGAUUCAUGAUAACUUUACGGAUCGCAUGGCCUUGCGCCGGCGACGGUUCAUUCAAAUUUCUGCCCUAUCAACUUUCGAUGGUAAGGUAUUGGCUUACCAUGGUUUCAACGGGUAACGGGGAAUUAGGGUUCGAUUCCGGAGAGGGAGCCUGAGAAACGGCUACCACAUCCAAGGAAGGCAGCAGGCGCGCAAAUUACCCAAUCCCGACACGGGGAGGUAGUGACAAUAAAUACUGAUACAGGGCUCUUUUGGGUCUUGUAAUUGGAAUGAGUACAAUUUAAACCUCUUAACGAGGAACAAUUGGAGGGCAAGUCUGGUGCCAGCAGCCGCGGUAAUUCCAGCUCCAAUAGCGUAUAUUAAAGUUGUUGCAGUUAAAAAGCUCGUAGUUGAAACUUGGGUCUGGCUGGCAGGUCCGCCUCACCGCGUGUACUUGUCCGGCCGGGCCUUCCUUCUGGAGGACCUCAUGCCCUUCACUGGG